AUGGCGCCGCCGCUCGCCGCCCCGCGCUUCCACGCCGCCCUCCCCCGCGGCCUCCUCCUCCGCCCCCGGAAGCCCCUCCGCUCCUGGCGCCGCGCCGCUCGCCCGGACGACCAGGAUCUGUACGUCGACGACGACAUCGGAGACGGCUUCUCGUUCAGCGGGGGGAAGUAUGCGGAAGCGGAAGGCCCGAGUAAGUCGGACGAGUGGUUCGCUCAGGGGAGAAUGGUAAAAGCUCAUGCAUUAUAUGGGAACAAAGAAAAGGCAAAGGAUCCGUUUUUUGGGCUCACCAUGGGUUCAGGAUCACAAUCUUCGGGUGAUGUUUUUAAUUGGUUUUGUGUGGAAGCGGGGAGUUCUUCUAAUCCUACGGUCCUUCUAAUCCAUGGGUUUCCAUCUCAGGCAUACUCUUACCGAAAUGUGCUACCUGUACUAUCAGACAAGUAUCGUUCCAUUGCUUUUGACUGGCUUGGUUUUGGAUUCUCAGACAAGCCUCAACCUAAAUAUGGUUUUGACUAUACUCUGGAUGAAUAUACUUCAGCCCUGGAAUCGUUAAUCGAUGCUGUUGCUCCUGAUAAGCUCUCCAUUGUUGUUCAGGGGUACUUCGCUCCAAUUGUAGUCAAAUAUGCUAACGAACAUCAGGACAAGUUGAACCACCUUAUACUGGUUAAUCCACCGAUAACUGACAAGCAUGCAAAGCUUCCAUCCACCCUUGCAUGUUUCAGCAACUUCUUGUUGGGCGAAGUAUUUUCCCAGGAUCCUCUUAGAGCUAGUGAUAAGGCCUUGACUAGUAGUGGGCCAUACAUGAUGAAGGAGGAAGAUGCUACUGUAUAUAGAAGGCCAUACCUUGUCUCAGGUGCAUCUGGUUUUGCACUGAACGCAAUAACAAGAGCUAUGGGAAAGGAUCUUAAGGCUUACAUUGAGUCCAUGAGGAGCAUAUUAGCGAGUGAUUCAUGGAAUACGAAGACAACAAUAUGUUGGGGCUUGAGGGAUCGUUGGCUCACUUAUGAUGGGGUGGAAGAUUUUUGUGAUGGCCUAAAACACAACGUUGUUCAGCUGCCAAUGGCAGGGCACCAUGCUCAGGAGGAUCGUGGUGAAGAGCUAGGGAAUAUAAUAAAACGUAUACUGAGAGGAUGA
rnacentral:rRNA from 1 species